rnacentral:rRNA from 1 species
AGAGUUUGAUCAUGGCUCAGAUUGAACGCUGGCGGCAGGCCUAACACAUGCAAGUCGAGCGGUAGCACAGAGAGCUUGCUCUCGGGUGACGAGCGGCGGACGGGUGAGUAAUGUCUGGGAAACUGCCUGAUGGAGGGGGAUAACUACUGGAAACGGUAGCUAAUACCGCAUAACGUCGCAAGACCAAAGUGGGGGACCUUCGGGCCUCAUGCCAUCAGAUGUGCCCAGAUGGGAUUAGCUAGUAGGUGGGGUAACGGCUCACCUAGGCGACGAUCCCUAGCUGGUCUGAGAGGAUGACCAGCCACACUGGAACUGAGACACGGUCCAGACUCCUACGGGAGGCAGCAGUGGGGAAUAUUGCACAAUGGGCGCAAGCCUGAUGCAGCCAUGCCGCGUGUGUGAAGAAGGCCUUCGGGUUGUAAAGCACUUUCAGCGGGGAGGAAGGCGGUGAGGUUAAUAACCUCAUCGAUUGACGUUACCCGCAGAAGAAGCACCGGCUAACUCCGUGCCAGCAGCCGCGGUAAUACGGAGGGUGCAAGCGUUAAUCGGAAUUACUGGGCGUAAAGCGCACGCAGGCGGUCUGUCAAGUCGGAUGUGAAAUCCCCGGGCUCAACCUGGGAACUGCAUUCGAAACUGGCAGGCUAGAGUCUUGUAGAGGGGGGUAGAAUUCCAGGUGUAGCGGUGAAAUGCGUAGAGAUCUGGAGGAAUACCGGUGGCGAAGGCGGCCCCCUGGACAAAGACUGACGCUCAGGUGCGAAAGCGUGGGGAGCAAACAGGAUUAGAUACCCUGGUAGUCCACGCCGUAAACGAUGUCGAUUUGGAGGUUGUGCCCUUGAGGCGUGGCUUCCGGAGCUAACGCGUUAAAUCGACCGCCUGGGGAGUACGGCCGCAAGGUUAAAACUCAAAUGAAUUGACGGGGGCCCGCACAAGCGGUGGAGCAUGUGGUUUAAUUCGAUGCAACGCGAAGAACCUUACCUGGUCUUGACAUCCACAGAACUUUCCAGAGAUGCAUUGGUGCCUUCGGGAACUGUGAGACAGGUGCUGCAUGGCUGUCGUCAGCUCGUGUUGUGAAAUGUUGGGUUAAGUCCCGCAACGAGCGCAACCCUUAUCCUUUGUUGCCAGCGGUUCGGCCGGGAACUCAAAGGAGACUGCCAGUGAUAAACUGGAGGAAGGUGGGGAUGACGUCAAGUCAUCAUGGCCCUUACGACCAGGGCUACACACGUGCUACAAUGGCAUAUACAAAGAGAAGCGACCUCGCGAGAGCAAGCGGACCUCAUAAAGUAUGUCGUAGUCCGGAUUGGAGUCUGCAACUCGACUCCAUGAAGUCGGAAUCGCUAGUAAUCGUAGAUCAGAAUGCUACGGUGAAUACGUUCCCGGGCCUUGUACACACCGCCCGUCACACCAUGGGAGUGGGUUGCAAAAGAAGUAGGUAGCUUAACCUUCGGGAGGGCGCUUACCACUUUGUGAUUCAUGACUGGGGUGAAGUCGUAACAAGGUAACCGUAGGGGAACCUGCGGUUGGAUCACCU